GUUCUACCGUAACGAUGACACCAGCGAUUAAUCGGCGUUAAUAUACGACCCGAUUAGCAGCUUCCGGGAAACCAAAGUUUUUCGUUUCCGGGGGAAGUAUGGUUGCAAAGCUGAAACUUAAAGGAAUUGACGGAAGGGCACCACCAGGAGUGGAGCCUGCGGCUUAAUUUGACUCAACACGGGAAAGCUCACCCGGCCCGGACACUGUAAGGAUUGACAGACUGAGAGCUCUUUCUUAAUUCAGUGGGUGGUGGUGCAUGGCCGUUCUUAGUUGGUGGAGCGAUUUGUCUGGUUAAUUCCGAUAACGAACGAGACUCUGGCCUAUUAAAUAGACGAGAUAUUACUCUGUAUCUCGCGCUUCUUAGAGGGACAAGCGGCGUCUAGUCGCAUGAAAAAGAGCAAUAACAGGUCUGUGAUGCCCUUAGAUGUCCGGGGCUGCACGCGCGCUACACUGAAAGAAUCAGUGGGCGUUUUACCUGGUUCGGAAGAACCGGGUAACCCAAGUAAUUUCUUUCGUGCUUGGGAUAGGGAAUUGCAAUUAUUUCCCUUAAACGAGGAAUUCCCAGUAAACGCGGGUCAUAAGCUCGUGUUGAUUACGUCCCUGCCCUUUGUACACACCGCCCGUCGCUACUACCGAUUGGAUGACUUAGUGAGGUCUUAGGACUGAGGUAGAGGUGCUUUAACGAGUGCCCUUGCUUUGGAAAUUUGAUCGAACUACGUUAUCUAGAGGAAGUAAAAGUCGUAACAAGGUUUCCGUAGGUGAACCUGCGGAAGGAUC
rnacentral:rRNA from 1 species